rnacentral:rRNA from 1 species
UAGGGAAUCUUCCGCAAUGGACGAAAGUCUGACGGAGCAACGCCGCGUGAACGAAGAAAGCCUUCGGGUCGUAAAGUUCUGUUGUUAGGGAAGAACAAGUACCAGAGUAACUGCUGGUACCUUGACGGUACCUAACCAGAAAGCCACGGCUAACUACGUG